ACUGUGCCGUUCGGUGAAUGGCUCGGCUCGAGCGCCGAUGACGGACGUGCCAAGCUGCGAUAAGCUCAGGGGAGCCGCACGGAGGCGAAGAACCUGAGAUCUCCGAAUAGGAACUCCUCACCGCAAUUGCUUCGCGCAAUGGGGAACGCCGGGAACUGAAACAUCUCAGUACCGGCAGGAAGAGAAAGCGAACGCGAUGUCGUCAGUAACCGCGAGUGAACGCGACACAGUCCAAACCGAAUCCUUCGGGAUAUGUGGUGUUUUGGGCUGACUCUCAUCGUCAGACCGUCUCGUCGAAGUCUCCUGGAACGGAGCACGACACAGGGUGACAGUCCCGUAGGCGAGACCACUACGACGUGCGUCAGUACCCGAGUAACGGGGGUUGGAAAUCCCUCGUGAAUCCGGCAGGCAUCGUCUGCCAAGACUAAAUACGACUCGAGACCGAUAGCGAACAAGUAGCGUGAGCGAACGCUGAAAAGCACCCUCAGAAGGGAGGUGCAAUAGGGCCUGAAAUCGAGCGGCGAUAGAGCGACGGGGCAUACAAGGUCCCCCGAGAAAUGAGACAGGCGCGAGCCUGCAGUAAGAUUCGGGGGAAGCCGAUGUUCCGUCGUACGUUUUGAAAAACGAGCCAGGGAGUGUAUCCGCGAGGCGAGCUUAACCGGUGCAUCCGGGGAAGCGCAGGGAAACCAACAUGGCCGCAGGAGCGUGGACUUCGUCCACGCACCCCAGGGCCGCCGUCUUCAAGGGCGGGGAGUCCCGUGGAUACGACCCGAAUCCGGACGAUCUACUCCUGGACAGGGCGAAGCGUAUCGAAAGAUACGUGGAGGCCCGCUAGCGUUGGUGUCCUACAAUACCCUCGCGUGAUCUGGGAGUAGGGGUGAAAGGCCCAUCGAGUCCGGCAACAGCUGGUUCCAACCGAAACAUGUCGAAGCAUGGUCUCCACCGAGAUAGUCCGUGAGGUAGAGCGACCGAUUGCCGUGUCCGCCCUCGAGAGAGGUCGGCUCGGCUGUCAAACUCCGAACUUACGGACGUCAGCGACGUGGAGGUUCCGGUAUGCGGGGUAAGCCUGUAUACCAAGAGGGGAACAACCCAGCGUCAGGUUAAGGUCCCCAAGUAUGGAUUAAGUGUAAUCCUCUGAAGGUGGUCUCAAGCCCUAGACAGCCGGGAGGUGAGCUUAGAAGCAGCUACCCUCUAAGAAAAGCGUAACAGCUUACCGGCCGAGGUUUGAGGCGCCCAAAAUGAUCGGGACUCAAAUCCAUCACCGAGACCUGACCGCAGGAGUCACAUCCUGAUCGAGUAGGUUUGGCGCUCCGAUUGGGUGGAAGCACGGGCGAGAGCUCGCGUGGACCGAUCGGUGACGAAAAUCCUGGCCAUAGUAGCAGCGAUAGUCGGGUGCGAAUCCUGACGGCCUCAAGAGCAAGGGUUCCUCGGCACUGUUCGUCAGCCGAGGGUUAGCCGAUCCUAAGAUCCGUCGUAAUUCGAGCGGAUCGAACGGGAAACUGGUUAAUAUUCCAGUGCCGCCGUCCAUCAAAAGUCGACGCUUUGGGUUCGCCUGGACCGGGCUUUCGCCCGGUGGAACUGUCAAAGACCGUGGAAGCCGUAACGGCACGAAGCGAUCGAACGGCAGGAUACCGCAAGCCAGGUCACCCCGGAGCCCGUGAAAAGACGAGGACGGCGAUCGUACCGAGAUCCGACACAGGUGCUCUGGCGGCGAAAGCCAAGGCCUGUCGGGACCAAUCGACGUUAGGGAAUUCGGCAAUCUAGCCCCGUACCUUCGGAAGAAGGGGUGCCUGCCUCGGGAAGAGGCAGGUCGCAGUGACUAGGGGACUCGGACUGUCUAGUAACAACAUAGGUGACCGCAAAUCCGCAAGGACUCGUACGGUCACUGAAUCCUGCCCAGUGCGGGUAUCUGAACACCUGGUACAACAGGACGAAGGACCCGUCAACGGCGGGGGUAACUAUGACCCUCUUAAGGUAGCGUAGUACCUUGCCGCUUCAGUAGCGGCUUGCAUGAAUGGAUCAACCAGAGUCCCGCUGUCCCAACGUCGAGCCCGGUGAACUGUACGUUCCAGUGCGGAGUCUGGAGACCCCCAAGGGGAAGCGAAGACCCUAUAGAGCUUUACUGCAGGCUGUCGCUGAGACGUGGCCGCUAGUGUGCAGGAUAGGUAGGAGCCGUCACACAGGUACCCGCGCCAGCGGGCCACCGAGGCACCACUGAAAUACUACCCACUAGUGGCUGCGACUCUCACUCCUGGCGGAGGACACCGGUAGCCGGGCAGUUUGACUGGGGCGGUACGCGCUCGAAAAGAUAUCGAGCGCGCCCGAAGACCAUCUCAUCCGGGUCGGAGAUCCGGAGAAGAGCGCAAGAGCAUAAGAUGGUUUGACAGUGUUCUUCCCAACGAGGAACGCUGACGUGAAAGCGUGGUCUAGCGAACUCAUUAGCCCGCUCGAUGCGGGCAAUGAAUGACAGAAAAGCUACCUUAGGGAUAACAGAGUCGUCACUCGCAAGAGCACAUAUCGACCGAGUGGCUUGCUACCUCGAUGUCGGUUCCCUCCAUCCUGCCCGUGCAGAAGCGGGCAAGGGUGAGGUUGUUCGCCUAUUAAAGGAGGUCGUGAGCUGGGUUUAGACCGUCGUGAGACAGGUCGGCUGCUAUCUAUUGGGGGUGUCAUGGUACCUGACGGGAACGCCCGUAUAGUACGAGAGGAACUACGGGUGGUCGCCACUGGUGUACCGGUUGUCCGAGAGGGCAGUCGCCGGGCAGCCACGCGACACGGGGUAAGAGCUGAACGCAUCUAAGCUCGAAACCCACCUGGAAAAGAGGUACCGCCGAGGUCACUCGUAGAAGACGAGAUCGAUAGACUCGGGGUGUACGCGUCGAGGCAACGAGACGUUCAGCCCGCGAGCACUAAUCGACCGAAGCCACCAUU
rnacentral:rRNA from 1 species